AGCUGGAUAGCUCUGUCGGUAAAGCAUGAGAUUCCUAAUCUCAGGGCCGUGGGUUCAAGCUGCGUGUUGGGCAA